AAUUUCACUUGGCUGGUGAGACACUGUGCUUAGGCAGGUGGUUUUUCCAGGGUAAGGUUUACCCCCUGCACUCCAGGUACGCUGACCCCUGUAAUUUUCCCAAAUGUAGGAAACUUAAUUGUAUAAAACCUGUGGUAGUGGGGGAUUGUUUUUGUAUUCUCCCCUU
rnacentral:snRNA from 1 species